rnacentral:lncRNA from 1 species
UCAAUGGGUAUACCUUCCUAUUCUGUGACUAGGCGUACUGUUCCAGUACUUCGUAUUAAUGUACAACUAAAUGAACUAAUUAUUAAAAAGUAAACAGACCUUUAAACUGAAGAACUUGAUUGGCUUGUAUACAUUGGUUUCUUUGUCAUAUAGUUCAAUUGCUGUUGCUUGUAAAUGUUUUAUAAACCAGUACUGCGAAGUAGCGAAAUUUCGGGCCGUCUUUUACAACAAAUAACAUCACAAUAACCGCACAUCAUUUUCUCUUUAAUACAGAACCAUUUUCCCCGUCCAUUGAGUUAUAAUUUCCAGAACGAACCAGUCGCUAUAACGUAAAAUAAGCGGGUAUUUGUGAACAAAAAUGCCGUUUGAUAUAAACACGAGGUAACCAGCGCCAUCUUGUCUUCUCCAAACAUUACAGAUUUUCCCGCCAAAACCCGCCUCCAAAGUCCCGUAUGUACCUGACGUCACAAGUGUCAUCGACGGGGGGGGGGGGACUACCAUAUUUUGUGGUAAAAUUUUUUCAAAAAUACGCACUAAAUCCAAUUUUAAUCUCUUUACCUUCGCUACUUUUGCUUUCCACAUGCCAACAAAACUAGCUUCUUAGCACAUACAUAGCAUACGCUUUAUAAAAUACUUAAAAAAUGGACCUAAACAAUAUUGGAGCGACAACAAUUUUGGAAAGUUUCUCCGGAAAUUUUUCUCACUUGAUGAAAAAACUUUUUCAUCUCUUUUUUUCUUUUCUUUUUUUCACAUUAUUGUACGUUGGAACAGCGCUAUAGUAUCAAUAGUAUCAAUAUAUAUAUAUAGCCUUAGUCUUAGAAUGUUAUAUAUUUUAUGGCAAUAUUUUAUAAAAAUUUCAUCGGCAAGUUGCUGAAUAUUUCAAAAGUAUCAACAAUUAAUGUUUCCAAGACCUCUCUGAAAAUCGGAAGCAAGUCAUUAAAAUGAUAUAAUUAUAUGUUCUAUUUCAUUUCAAAAAGCAAACAAAUGUUCCUCUUUUGUUACGAUAGCACUACCCUGGAUUCCAAAGCCUUUGACAGUAAAUAAUGAAUUGAAACAUUGCGAAAGCUCUGGUUCAACAG